UACGUAGGGGGCGAGCGUUAUCCGGAAUUAUUGGGCGUAAAGAGUACGUAGGUGGUUUUGUAAGCGCAGGGUGAAAGCCCGGGGCUUAACUUCGGUAAGCCCUGCGAACUGCAAGACUUGAGUGCAGGAGGGGAAAGUGAAUUCCUAGUGUAGCGGUUAAAUGCGUAGAUAUUAGGAGGAACACCGGUGGCGAAGGCGACUUUCUGGACUGUAACUGACACUGAGGUACGAAAGCGUGGGGAGCAAACAG
rnacentral:rRNA from 1 species